AUAUAAUUAAGAAAAAAUACGAAUAUCACAUAUCCGAGGGGGGAAGCGCGACUGUUUUCCGAAUGGUAUGCAGCGACGGGGAGGCUAGGCCUAGCGUCGAGAGGUGCGGGCUGUAUGAGAUACCGUUGGUCGCUCCCAUGAACGACGCGGUGACCUAUUGCAUCGGAAUGGCCCGACGGCGCCUGAGGGAACGUAUACAACAACACAAGUGCGACGUACGUAGCAGCAGGGAGGGUACUGCUCUAGCACGGGCGGUCUGUUCAAGGGACUGAUCGGUGGUGUGGGACAGCGCAAGAAUUGUAGACUCACUAUGUGCUGACGGGUUGAG
rnacentral:lncRNA from 1 species